GCCUCAGUAACGGCGAGUGAAGCGGCGAAAGCUCAAAUUUGAAAUCUGGCCCCCCCCGCGGGGGUCCGAGUUGUAAUUUGCAGAGGAUGCUUUGGGCGCGGCGCCUUCCGAGUGCCUUGGAACAGGUCGCCUCAGAGGGUGAGAGCCCCGUACGGUUGGACGCCUAGCCCGUGUAAAGCUCCUUCAACGAGUCGAGUAGUUUGGGAAUGCUGCUCAAAAUGGGAGGUAAAUUCCUUCUAAAGCUAAAUACUGGCCAGAGACCGAUAGCGCACAAGUAGAGUGAUCGAAAGGUGAAAAGCACUUUGAAAAGAGAGUCAAAUAGCACGUGAAAUUGUUAAAAGGGAAGCGUCUGCGACCAGACGCGCCGCCCGCGGCUCACCCGGCGCCUCGGCGCCGGGGCACGCCGCGGGCGUCGGGCCAGCAUCGGCUCUGCCGUGGGUACAAGGACCGCGGGAACGUAGCUCCCUCGUGGAGUGUUAUAGCCCGCGGCACCAUGCCCGCGGCGGGGCCGAGG
rnacentral:rRNA from 1 species